UCUUAUUGGGGAUAUCAUUAUGUGAAACAAAUGGUUAAUUAUCGAUGUCUGCGCCCAACAAAGGAAAUAAAUAUGUGUACAUCAAAACAGAAGUAUUGGCUGUGUUAGUGAGCCCCUUUUGGAGCGAAAAAUAAAAUGCGAGCGCUGAAACUAACAAAUCAGGCGAAGCUCUUAAACACGUACGUAUAUUAAGCGCUAUGUGCAACGGAAAAGCUAGACGGGACACAUCAAUCCAGAAUUGCGAAAAAAGUACAGAGCGGACCGACAAUUCAGUCAGUUAGAACUCAGCAGAGCAGUGCAACAGUACGGUGAACAUCUCGGCAAGAGUAGAACAAUUUCUAAAAAAAAAUAUCUAAAGGAAAUUACUACACUUAAAUUUUAAACGUGCUUACUUUUUUUUACAUUUUUGCAAACAAAUCUGCGUGAUAAACCGAUUUUUAACAUAUAGUACAUUUCAUUAAAUAAUGAAAGUGAAUAAGCAUCAUAAGUGAAGUUUUGACAUACACACCCUCCAUUUAUGUAGGGGUGCUUUGGAAUAGAAAGGAUACUGGCCUAUCGAAGGUGAAGAGGCAGAAACGCAACGUCAUCACCCUUUUGACACCGAAUACGACAUUUUCGGCUGCAUUGUGUUUAUAACCGCCAGACUAUAUAUGCGCUUAUUUUAUAUUGUUAUUUAGUACAAAGAUUUACUGCGACAAGGUGACAAAAAGGAGUUCAAUAUCGGGCUUUGCAACCACAGAUUAGAUUACAAAUGGCAAUAGGAAAUAUUGCCAACAUUAAAUAAAACGGAACUUUAAAAUAUACUAGACUGUAAGGACAAAGCGUGUUAAGAACGAAAUUAAAAACGCAGAGCGGAGAUUUACGAAUACAUAUGUAUAUGCGUUCACCAUUGAAUGUUAUUAUGCUGCAAAGGACACGUAGGCACAACUGAAGGUAGAGCAAGCAAAAAUGCCUACCCAACUUCAUCAUUAGUAUACCGCGAUAUGCAGAGGUGAAAAGGACAUAUGCCAGAAAUUAUACUACAUAUAUCAACGCUCAUAAUACACACAGUGGUUGAGCGACUAAAAAAAACAAUAAUAUUAAACUUCAGACUUUCUAAUUAUUUAUUAAAAAUUUAAUUUACGUCAGCAAAGUGUUCUGAAGAUCAUCCCACACAUAAUAUACAUACAGUUUUAAUAAAACUAAUAAAGUUUGAGUGUUGCGCGUGAGAAUUCUGAGCUAAAGAAAAAACUGUUUAUUUAAAAAUAUAUAAAACAAAUAAGCGUAACAAAUAACUGGCAUUCAGAAGACUACUAUAGGUGCAGCAAAUAAUACGAAUGUUAGCUUAUUUUCCCUAUAAGAAAAAUAUGUAUUUAUUAUAGUUUGAAACCAAAGUUAACAGUCUCAUCGAAAAUCGUGCACAAAUUCUCGCAUAGAGUUAAAAAAGGAGCUACAAGUAAAACGAUUCCUUACAACAUCCACUAAAGAGAAGACAGCAACAACAUUUCAAGAUGCGGUUAUUUCCGGUGCGUUUAUCGAACAUUACAAAAAUGCUCGAUAUAUACUCGCAGUUCAAUCCAUCACCUUUGUCUAUAAAACAAUUUAUGGACUUCGGUCAAAAUGCAUGCGAGAAGAAAUCCUAUAUAUUCCUGCGUAAAGAGCUGCCCGUGCGUCUGGCGAAUAUCAUGAAGGAGAUCGCGUUGCUGCCGGAUCAUUUGCUUAACACCCAAUCAGUGAGCCAGGUGAGCUCAUGGUACGUGCAAAGCUUCGAGGAGGUGCUGGAGUUUGAAAAGGCAGAACCGACGCAUAGUAACUUGGAGAAGUUUUGCAACACUUUGGUGCACAUACGCAAUAGGCACAGUGAUGUGGUGCAAACAAUGGCUCAAGGCGUCAUCGAAAUGAAGGAGCAUCAGGGCGGCCCCGUUGAUUGCGGCAUGGAAUCGUCGAUACAAUACUUUCUUGAUCGUUUAUACAUGUCACGCAUUAGCAUACGAAUGCUAAUCAAUCAGCACACUAUACUAUUUGGCCAGUUCCCCAACGAGCAGGGUCGUCAUAUUGGCUGCUUGGAUCCGGCCUGUCAGAUCUCAUCGGUGGUAAGAGAUGCUUAUGAAAACGCACGCUUUCUCUGCGAUCAAUACUAUCUGAUCAGUCCGGAACUGGAAAUCACUGAGCAUAAUCCACACGACAAAGCAAAUAAUCCCAUACGCACUGUUUAUGUGCCCUCGCAUUUAUACCACAUGCUUUUCGAGCUGUUUAAGAAUUCCAUGCGUGCUGUUGUGGAAAAUAACGAUCAAGAUAAAUGUGAAAAGCUGCCACCCAUUAAGGUGCUCAUAGCGGAGGGCAAAGAGGAUAUAUGUGUGAAGAUCUCAGACCAAGGUGGCGGCAUUCCACGUUCACAAACCGAUCAGUUGUUCAAAUACAUGUACAGCACUGCGCCACAGCCAUCAAAAUCCGACCUACAUACAGUGCCAUUAGCAGGAUAUGGCUAUGGCCUGCCCAUUUCGCGCUUAUAUGCACGAUAUUUCCAUGGUGAUAUUGUGUUGUUGUCAUGCGAAGGAUAUGGCACCGAUGCGAUUAUUUAUAUGAAGGCACUAUCAGACGAGGCUAACGAGCUCCUGCCCAUUUUCAACAAGACGAGCUCGAAAUUUUAUCGUGCCACCGUGCCCACUGGCGAUUGGUCUAACCAGAAUUUUUCCAACCGUUGGCGUUAUAUAUAUAGUCUCUUCACGUCCAAAAACAAUUAGCGAAUGUUUUAUUCUUAAAUGCUUGACUCAUUUAAAUUGGUUUUUAUUUAUGACGAAAGAGCUCUGACAUGAAUGCAAGGCAAUUGAAUGCCUCGGCACCGAAGCGCUACAAUGACAUGUUAUAG
rnacentral:misc_RNA from 1 species